rnacentral:antisense_RNA from 1 species
CUUGAGCGACCCGAGCCAUACCGGCUCGUCCCCCCGGCGCUCCUGCCCGUAGGUGGCCAGGACCGCCUGGGCCUC